AUCCUGGCUCAGGAUGAACGCUGGCGGUAUGCUUAACACAUGCAAGUCGAACGGAGUACUUCGGUACUUAGUGGCGGACGGGUGAGUAACGCGUGAGAAUCUGGCCUUAGGUUCGGGACAACCAUGGGAAACGAUGGCUAAUACCGGAUAUGCCUUAGGGUAAAAGAUUAAUUGCCUGAGGAUGAGCUCGCGUCUGAUUAGCUAGUUGGUAGGGUAAGAGCCUACCAAGGCGACGAUCAGUAACUGGUCUGAGAGGAUGACCAGUCACACUGGGACUGAGACACGGCCCAGACUCCUACGGGAGGCAGCAGUGGGGAAUUUUCCGCAAUGGGCGAAAGCCUGACGGAGCAAUACCGCGUGAGGGAGGAAGGCCCCUUGGAUUGUAAAAA
rnacentral:rRNA from 1 species